rnacentral:lncRNA from 1 species
AUGAAGUCCCUCUGGAUCUUGAGCUGGUUAAUAGACUCAAUCGUCUCGUGGAUCUGCAGCGCUGGGCUCCAGCCCCACCUUACUGUCCAGAGCGCUGAUCUCCUGCUGGUUGGCCGUGGACAGCAGGAAGCUGCUCAUCUGCCCCUUCAGGGGCUCCUCCACCUCCACGUCAAUGUCAUAGCACGCCGUCUUCUUCUGGUCCGACGGGUCCACGCUGCCAGGGAAGGCCAGCCCUUGUGUCCAUGCUGCCCCGAUGGAGGCCAAGGGCCUCCGAGGCCUGAUGUGGGGGGUGGGCAGAGGGAGGGAUGGGGCGGCGGGACCACCAUAGUGACUCCCAGCUCUGAGAAGCAGGGAUGGGGGGGGCCUCACCUGAUGACAUGGUUGAUGACAAUCGGGUCAGGGGGCAGCAGAAGGGCUGUGAGGCGCUGGGGAAUCUCAGAAAACUUCAGCCGGGGACAGUCAAAAAUCUGCAGUAGGAGAAAAGAGGUUCCCUGCUCUGCACUCAAAAGAGCCUUCAUUCUCAAAAGGCCCCCCAAGCAGCCAGCUCUCAAUGAGGAGGCGGGGGCCGGCCUGGGCCUGAGGCCUGCUUCCUCCGCCCACGGCGCAACCCCGAGCCGCUCAGCUUCACAGUCGGCCUCAGUCUCUCCAUCUCUGGGAGCCGAAGGCAGGGGCACUGAUCUCAGGGGGCUUGUUAGAAUUAAAUGCGUCAAUUACACACGAAGUGCCUGAAGCAGCGCCUGGCAUGUGGUGAGUGCUCAAUAAACACUGACUGUUGUUUUCACCACUCAAGGCUACCUGUGGUAUUUAUUUUAAAGUUAUAUUAAUAAUAACCUCUAGUUUGGCAGUAUCACUUCCACAGCAGUUUGAUUCUCCUAACUGCCCAGUGGGUAAGACGGGACAGGCGUGGCGAAGAUAAGGAACAAGGCUGCAAACAGCUAAAUGACGGACCCAGUGACUGGCUCCAGGGCCAGAACCUGGGGGCCCUAGCUCCAGGUGCCAAGAACAUGUUCCCCAGAGCCACUAGCUUCCUGGGGUUCCCAAUCGGCCUCACCUGGGGGCUGGGGGUGCUGAGACAGGCGGGCUGCAGCACAGGGCGGUGUGACAGAGCCCAGAUGGGAACCCCGGUCUCCGGCUUGAGAUCAUUCCCGACGGAGUCAAGGAGGCAGGGUGGUGUUCCCGAGCAGAGGCCCUUCCCCUCCCCGUGGCCCCAGGCUCAGGGGAGAGGGUACCUGCUGGAAAUACUUGUCGCCGUUGAUGUACUCCUUGUCGUGGGAGUCCUGCAGCCGGUUGGUCUUCACGUAUUGCCACAGGGCCUGGACGAUGGCCGAGCGGCUCUGCGUGUGCAAGCCCAGCAGCCGGGCCAGGCGGGGAUCCAGUUUGAACUGGGGAGGCUGAGCCAAGGAGGCCAUGAGAAAAUGAGACAAAAAGAGAGUGGGAGGGGCUAGGGACUCAGGACUCGGGGGCUGUGGGGCCUAGGCUCCUUGGAAACAAGCUUCUGGAGCAGGCAGGGUGGAGGGGAGAACGGGGUCUCUCAGGGCAUACAGCUUGCAAGCCAUGACCCACCCCAGCUAGGAGAAGGGUACAGGAGGCGGGAUGCUGGGGGGAGCGGUGUCUGGGAGUGAGGGCACGCACCUGGUAGUCCAGCAUGAGGAGCAGCGUGCAACGCACACUCAGGUCCCCCGGCCUCUUCACCUGGAACCCAUCCGUCUCCUGAGUGGUGGGUGUCCGGUGCCACUGUCCAGGGGUAGGAGCUGAGUCACCUCACAGGCCCGUCUGAGGGCCUUGGAGCUCUGGGUGCAGGACUGGGGGCCUGGCGGAGGGGGUCCCCGACCCAGGUCUACACCACGAACGGGACUGCAUUCUAGGUUCUUUAGGACAGUGGCCUGUGGCCAGUUCGAGGGCAGGAGGGGUCUGGGCCUUUCUUACCUCCACGAGGUGGUUGUCAGGGCCAUAAAGGUCUUUGUCCAGCUCAAUGACCAAGCUCUUGAAGAAGGAAGAGAACUUCCGCUUCUGCUUGCUGGGCUGUGGGAGAGGCACGGACCGUGGGCGCGGAACAGGGCCCACGGUGGCAGAGUGAGUUGGGAGCGGGUGGGGGCUGGCCGGGUAGGGCCACACAGUCAGAAGCAGGCCUGGGCACGUCUCUCUGGACCACCCUCCCGCAGCCAGGGCUGACUUCCCCAGCCCUCGGUGUACACAUCCAGUACCGGCCUCAGCUCAGCCCCAUACCCACCCCAGGACACCUGGAGAGACCUGGGCCAGGACGUACGUCAUCCAGGAGCUUCCCCUCCACCCGCAGCUCCCAGGAGGCGAUGCUGCCGUCAGAAUCCUCGGCAUCGGGCUUCGCAGGGUUAAAAGUAUUGGAGAUAUAAAGACGCAGCUUGCGCUUUUGCUGUAGAGAUAAACAGUGUCAUACAGAGCCAGUUCCCAGGGGGCCAGCCCUGGCUUCUCCCUUUCAGGGACUAGGACUUGGCUCCCUCACCCCACCCCCAACCCAAGGCACCUUCAUGGGCCGCUUCAGAGCCUCCUGGAUGUCCACCCGCUUCCUCAUGAUGGUCUGAUCCAGUUUCCUCUCAAACGCCAGGAGGUCCAUGUAAGCCUGGGACUCUGGGACCAGCUCCCGGAUCUGGAAGUGGGCAGGAAGCGAGGCAGGGAACCAGGGGCUCAGCCAGUCUUGCAGUUGGAACGUGCAGGUGUCACGUGGCCCCAGGAGUGUGCGAGUGUGGCGGGCAGGGAGCUGGCCACAUUCAGGGCAGGGAACUUGGACAGCGCAGACGGGACCUCUGAAUCCAGCCAUGAAGGCCUGGAUGUUACAGGGAUGAAACUGCUGCUCCCACUAGAGAUAUCCAUGCAUUUCAUCACUAGGGGAGGCCGAAGCAACCAUGGAGGCCAGCAGGUGCUUAGGGCUUCACCUCCUCAUCCUGUCCUUUCCCUGUCGCACAGCCUCUGGGUUCCCUUGGGCACCUGUGAAGUGGUCAGGGGCCCCUGGGGUCCCUGAGACAGGAGAUGUCGCGGCUUGGGCCUACAGUGACAUCUCAUCCAGAUGUUCUGCUUGAGCUGGGGUCUCAGCCGUCCUCCAGACCCAGCUGGGCCUGGGUCCCCUUACGCUGCUGGGCCUUCCGGCCAGCUUCUGUUCCCUUCUCUCCUCUGCCAGCCUGUGGUCCCCGAGCCCUCAGCCCCUCUUUGUCCCCUGCCUUUAUGUCUCUGCAGACCGCUGGAAUUCGAUCUGCAGCCCCCCCCCAGACCCCCCCCCCCCACCCAGGAUCCUACCCCCUCUGGCUCUGCGUUCCCCUCUGCCCCACCCCAUCCUUUUGGCCCUGGGGGAGCCUCAUUUCUUAAUUAGCUUUUUAAACAAAAAAAGUGAAAGUGACUAUGAUGUUGAAGCGCUGCUCCUGAGGGGGGAGGGGAGGUGGCCCGGGGUGGUGGUGGCGGGGAGUGGGGGGGGGGGGAGGGGUGGGGGUGGGGUGGGCUGGGGGCUGCUGUGAAAGGCACUCACCCUUUGAGGGAGGAUUUUGUCAGCCAUCUUCCUCCUCUUGGCACUGUACAUUUUUUAAAGAAAAAACCAGGUUACCAUGGCGACAGAUCUGGGAGUAACGAGGCCACCUGCUAAAUUAUCCCGACAUCUCAGCCCGCCUGGCUGGGGUUCCCACAGCCCGCUCAUCUGCCCGCCCGAGGGGCUAUGCCGGCGCCGGCCGUGUGUGGCUCUGUCCUCUCAUGGGGAGCGGAGGUGACUCUGUCCUUUCUCUGGCCUGGGAGCCCCUUUUCUGCCCCGCCACAUCCCCAGAUCCAGAGAAAUUAGCCUUGGAAGGGGCUCGGAGCAGGGGCGCUGCAGAAAUGUUUGGGGAAAGCUGGGCAGAGGCAAGGACAGAGUGGGGGGAUGCAUUGUGAGGACUUUUUUUCCCUCCUCUGAGAAGGGGCACACAAUCCAAGGUGGCUGAGCUGGUGGGGAGGGGAGCUGACCCCCUUGCCCCAUUCCAGAAGCAGGAAGUGAUGGUGUGAAGCUGGUGAGGACCAGCACCCCAGCCACCCUGGGCUAGGAAGGGGACCCUGAUGGGCAGGGGGUGCUCAUGCCCUUGGACCACCUGCCAGCAGGGCCAAGGGACACACCCACAGGUAUCCAGAUAGAGUGGGUACGGAUGUUCCCCUCUGGGGUGUGGCUGGUGGGCUGAACCUGGGGUAGCAGCUGGGACUUGGACUCUGCUGGAUCCACUAGCCGGUUCCGACUCCCAGAAGGAACCCCAGAAAACCCUUGGCGAGUAGAAAUUAGAACCCAGCCUAGGGAAUGGCUGCAUACUGCCCCCGUGUGGUGGUCUCAGCCACUGCCCCAGCCCUGGUCAAAAAUCUAUUCAAGGCUAGACAAGCAGGUUUCACUAAAGGUCUGGUUUGUUUUGAAGAAACUAUCUCUGUGAAACUCUCCAGUUGUACAAGAUAAAUCAGGGACUCUACAAAAGAAUGACUCACUUUGCAAAGAAUUCCUCAUGGGCUUCCUAUAAAUGGUGAAUUUUCCUUGACAUGUAAAAAAAUAUUUAAUAAUGAGGUAAAAUCCACAUUGCACCUUUUAUAGGACUCCAUCUGGUGCGCAAAAGGAAGCAUGUGUGUUUGGCUAAACAGUGAAACCCAGAGGGGUAUCUUCCUUGCCAGGCACCAGCAGGGGCUUUUGGGGGUGCCACUGGCUGGCUCAGACAAGGAAACAGACUGGCCCUUGGUGGCUUGAGGGCAGACCCGUCCAGAAGACAGACCGUGGCAACUCCUCAACAUUUGAGUGCCCAAGAAUCACCAGAGAGCCAGGGCGCGCGGGGGGGCAGGACCCCCCCACCGGGGGGCAACCCCCGGCCCCCCCCGCCACUGGCCAGGGAUUCAGAUUAACAAGAUCCGGAGUGGGGCUUUCGAGGAGUCAAGCCAGGGGCGCUUCUGAGGAAGGCGCACUGGACAACCGCGCUAGGAACCGCAGUGUAAAGCUCGGCCCUGAGCCCUGGUGCCACAGCCCCGCCUCCAUCCCCCGAGAACCAGGGGACUGGGGUGCAGAGAGGGACAGAGCAGGUGACAAGGAGAAGGGCGCGACGGUCACAGCCUGUCUCCACGGUGUGGGCACACAAAGAAACCGGGACAGUGCCCCCUCAGCCCGCCUCCUGGGAAAGCAUCCCACCCGGGACGCCUGAUCCCUGCUGACCCCUCUCCGCCCGGGCUUCCCACCUCCUCCCUCCGGGUCCCGCGUCCGCCCCCUCCGCGCUGGGCACCCCCCCUACCCCCAC